rnacentral:lncRNA from 1 species
GGCCGCCAGUGGGAGUGCGCGUGCGCAGUCCUGGUUUUGGGCGUCGUGAGGGAGGAAGCGGGCAGUGCGUUGCUUCGUGCGUGGCUCAGUGCCUUUCUUUCUUCUGGUGUGCCUCCCGCCCGAGCUUUAGCCAGUGGAGAUGGCAGGGACCUCGGACCAAGUUGGAUGUGGCAGCCAAGCUGUGAGGACACAGGCAGGUGUUUCCUCCAGACAUUUGCUGGAGCAGAGUGAACUGUAUGGAGGCAGAUGCUCUUCACCUUCCCCUCUCCACACCUGCCCAGAUGUUGCUCUUUCAACCAUCAGCACACACCGCAGGAGGUCAAAAAUGUGUGACGAGGACAUCAAGGGACAUUUCACGCUCUUUGUGCCCAUGCAGGGUUUGUCUGGAGCUGCAUCUCAGUAAUGAGCCUGCUGGCAAUCCACUGCUUUUGAGCAGUGACAGCCUGGUGUCACCCUCCCUGUCAAGGUGAAGAGUUCCUGCUGUAUUUGGGAUCCUGCAGUGAAGAAAAACCCCUGCUCAACGCUCUCCUCCACGUUUCUUAGUUCACCAAGCCAGUGCACGUGUUGGAGAUGGCUGUUUGAGUCUGCUUCAAGUGUUGCCAUUAGGUACAAGAGUCAACAUCCCUUUUCUUUCCCUGCUAACUGUCCCUUGGCCGGCCCUGAUCUUCCACACUGAUUAGUUCUCACUUAAACAUCCAGGAGCACAACACUAAGAGGAUUUUGCCAUGGCAGGUUAUCCCCGUGGCAGGGAAGAUGCAAAGCUUCCUUAGCAGUCCUGAUGCGUGCAGUGAUUUCCAUCACAGAAGAGCAAUAAGGAGCAGGGUGACCAGCAUCCUGCUGCCCCUCCCUGUGCAACCCCCACUCCUUUUGCAGGUGAUGGCUGCAGAUUGGGGUUCUUGCACAGAAUUGCCUGUGAGGAGGUGUUCUCCUGCCCCAUGACCACCCUGUGGUUGAGAGGUGACGGAAGGACCACACCAUCCCAGGGAUGCUCUGGUACUGGAAGUGGCUUUUAUUUAGGAGUUGUGUUGGCUUCUCACAAUUUUCUCCUAGGCAAAAGGAUCGUUUUCAGCUUUCAGAGAACUGUAACCAAAGAACAUUUGGGGUUUUCUGGUUCCCCAGAAUAAAACAAUUCCA